CCUACGGGUGGCUGCAGUGGGGAAUAUUGGACAAUGGGCGAAAGCCUGAUCCAGCCAUGCCGCGUGUGUGAAGAAGGCCUUCGGGUUGUAAAGCACUUUCAGUGGGGAAGAAAGCCUUGGGGCUAAUACCCUCGAGGAAGGACAUCACCCACAGAAGAAGCACCGGCUAACUCCGUGCCAGCAGCCGCGGUAAUACGGAGGGUGCGAGCGUUAAUCGGAAUUACUGGGCGUAAAGAGCGCGUAGGCGGUCUGAUAAGCCGGUUGUGAAAGCCCCGGGCUCAACCUGGGAACGGCAUCCGGAACUGUCAGGCUAGAGUGCAGGAGAGGAAGGUAGAAUUCCCGGUGUAGCGGUGAAAUGCGUAGAGAUCGGGAGGAAUACCAGUGGCGAAGGCGGCCUUCUGGACUGACACUGACGCUGAGGUGCGAAAGCGUGGGUAGCAAACAGGAUUAGAUACCCGUGUAGUC
rnacentral:rRNA from 1 species